rnacentral:lncRNA from 1 species
GGCCAUUCAUCUUGCUUUUGUCCUGUGCGUUUCCGCCACUGCAGGCCACGCACGUGGAUGCUCCAAUUACAGGUGCUCCCUGCAGUGCUCAAGGACAGCAGGAUCUUCAAGCUCACGCUCAAAAGCCCACAUGACAAACAAAGACAGGGAUGGAAGAAAAGGGGUAGCAGCAGACAGACAGACGUCCAAUCCAACAGGCCCAGAAGAAAAACCCAAGGGCACAGGAACAAAGAGGGGUGGGGAGGCAUGACAAUUAUCUGCACAGGGGCAAGGGCUCUGUCCCAGCUCACUGAGUAUUCCCUCUGGACCCUGAUGCUCUCUCUGUCCGUCCUUCAACACAGAUCACUUUAAAGCCACCUAGAUCUUC